UCUCUGGUGGCUCAGAUGGUAAAGCGUCUGCCUACAAUGCAGGAGACCCGGGUUCGAUUCCUGGGUUGGGAA
rnacentral:tRNA from 1 species